UAUUUUCAAUUUCAGUAUUUAUGGUCGAAGACUUGAAGAUUCUGACAACGGAAGUGCAGGAGAUCGAAUACGGAAAAAAUUCAGCACUGCCUAACAAAUCAAAAUUAUGAAGCUUUACUGUAGAAACCAGAGCACACACCACUCCAAAUCAGCUGACUACAAAAGUGUUAAGACUGUUUAGUCUUGCAGUGAAGAGGAUGCCUGAAGUGUGGUUUCAAUGAUAUGGCCAACAGCACACACAAGGUAAUCAGUUGGCUUCUGAGGACAAGUUUUGCAUCACAUCUUGAGAAAUGCCAAAACUGGCCCUCCUAUUUGCCUGAUCUCUCUAAUUUUAUUUGGGACUGCCUGAAGAAGAAAGCGUAUGUGAACAAACUACGAAUAAAGCAGGAGCUCAAGGUAGUAUUAAUGCAGAAGCUCCUGAACAGGAGUGUUGACCCCUGUCUUAUUGUGCUACAUGGAGCUUGCAUCUGUGAGGCCCACAGCUGAGGCACCCAGUACCAGACUAAGAGAGGUUGGAGGGGAUGGCCUGUUUCAG